rnacentral:rRNA from 1 species
CCUACGGGUGGCAGCAGUCGGGGAUAUUGCACAAUGGAGGGAACUCUGAUGCAGCGACGCCGCGUGCGUGAAGAAGUGCUUCGGCAUGUAAAGCGCUUUGGGCAGGGAAGAAAAAAGACGGUACCUGUAUAAGAAGCUCCGGCUAACUACGUGCCAGCAGCCGCGGUAAUACGUAGGGAGCAAGCGUUAUCCGGAUUUAUUGGGUGUAAAGGGUGCGUAGACGGACAAGCAAGUCAGGGGUGAAAUCCCUCGGCUUAACUCAGGGACUGCCACUAAAACUACUUGCCUGGAGUGCUGGAGAGGCAGGUGGAAUUCCUGGUGUAGCGGUGAAAUGCGUAGAUAUUAGGAGGAACACCGGCGGCGAAGGCGGCUUGCUGGACCGUAACUGACGUUGAGGCACGAAAGUGUGGGGAGCGAACAGGAUUAGAUACCCGUGUAGUC